CACAGCAGUCUUAAACAGUCAGUGUUUUGAAGAGUUUACAAAGAAUGCCUGCAAGUGACUUGGAAACUGUCCUUGCUGUUGCUUAGGGACAAUUUUCUGUUUGCAAGAAUGGACCAUCCUAAUCCUGUCUUUACUGCAUUAAGAACUGCAGACACUUAAUAAGGACUAUUCAUUCUCCAAGGAGAUCACAACCUGAAAUCCUGCUGAAAGACUGGUGCUACAACAGAGGACAAAGAGAGAGAAAAAGAGAUCCUGUGGGAAAUGGAAUCCAAAGACAGAUCAAAUGAAGGAAACAAAACUGAGUUUGAACCACACAUGGUGGUGCAUACAAGACUUGACUGUUCACUGCCUGCAGAAUGAUGGGCUUGAAGAGCAAAGCAUAUGCUGCUUGGGAGACUUUGACAGAGAGAAGGACAUAAAACAAAUGGAGUUCAUGAAUAUACAAUUUUUAUUGUACACAGUAGUGACAUCCAAACUUCACAGAAUAGGUGGGUGAGACUUAUGCUUUACUAUUGAGAUUAAUGGGUACGUAAAAAAGUGCCAACAGAGAGUACUACAGUUUAUGUUAAAAAUGUCGACGUGGAUAAGAAUAAUUUUCUUCUCAAGAUGAAUGAUACAUUUAAUGGCUGUGAGACAUUCAUGCCCAGUAGCAGUUCCUCAAAAGUAAUUUUUUGUUGUUAUUGUAAAUUAUAUAAUCUUAACUGCAAUUAUAGCCCUGUUUAGGUAAAGGUCAAGUUAGUACAGUGGAUGGUUAUAAACUAAGAGUGAAAUUGGUAAAUUUAUUCCCUUGAUGAAAGCCUAUGAAUGAUUUUAAGCAAGAUAAUUUUUUGUAACUCUAUUUCAACUUUAAUGUAAUAUAGCAAGUAAAGACAGCACACAUUAACAAAGGGUAAAUUAGAUUUGUCUAAGUAAACAUGUAUCUGCAAUAGGAAUAGUGUUGCUGUAGUAAGGACAGUCUGAAGGUUAAGCUCUCCAUGUAAAUGGUAUAGAUUCAUUUUUGUGGAAAGCAAAAGGAGGGACAACCUCUGAAAAAUUGCCUUUGAUGGAAUGCAAUCUGUCCUCUCCCGAGCAGCGCUCAAAUACUUUGUAACACGUGAAACUGUACCCACCUUUCAGUCACUAGAAAUUGGUUAGAGUCCUUUUGAUUUCAAAAGCUUUCCCUUAAAACAGUGCAAUUGUCUCUUCAACUGCUUCAGAUGGAAUAGAUUUGUUUUGUUAAUAAAGAGGUUAAAAAACAAGAUGGAGAAUAUUCUACAUAUGGUAAUGAAAGAUGUUUCCUAAAGAGUUUGGUGUUCAUUUUCUUUUCUUUUAAAGUAAAAAAUGGAUAUAGUAAUAAGUCUCAGAAAGCUGUUUACAAUGAGAAGAAAGAUUUCUCAAGACAAUGGCAGGGUUUUAUUCAGAAGGGACAGCAUGAACAUAACUAUUUCACCUUUUCACAGCUUUUGAAGUAAAGCACAAGCACUGUGAUACAUAGACAUAAUUGCUGUUUUAACUCUAAGAACUUCUGCCCGUGCGAUCAGUUCAUUGAAAAGUUUUCAGUACAUCUUAGAAUCUUCACUCUGUCAGACUACAGAGGUGUUACAUUUUUUUCCCUUUAUUUCUCUUCUGGAAAUGUACGUGUUAGGAAAUUAGAAGGAGGAAAUCCGCUUUCUGUUCCAUUAGAUGUCAAAGACCUUCAACUAAUAUAUGUAAUACACAUUCUAACAACUACAACAAAAGAAUAAACACAGUACCACUUGACAGAUGAACAGCAAAGGCUUGUUACUUAAGUUUGCCACCAAUUAAAAUGCACAUUGGAUCAGCUCUGGCCUGUCACCUGCAAUUAUUGGGAAAAGUUGGCUGUAGGCCACAUUAGAUGAAUGUGAUUUUUUCUGUUUGAUCAUAGUGCUUCUCAUCUCUGUUCUGGAAACUCUGCUUGCCUCAUUUCAGGUUUUCAAGAAUACCUAACUGAUUUUGUUACAAGUUUUUUAAUUGUAGUAAGGCGAAAAGACCUUCUGAUCCAUUCUGUAUAUGAUCCAUUCUGUAUAUGAAGAUACUACUUUAACCUCUCUGAAGCCAAUACAUCAUUUUUCUGUCAUGAUUUUCUUAGAUAUGCACUGAUUUGAACAAUGUCUCUCAAAUUUCAGUUUAACCACUUCCAUCUCUGGAUACUUUCAAUCUUCACAAGAAAAGGAAACUGGAAAUGUAAGGCUGAAAGGUAUGAAUUCAGCAAUGGCAACAGUGAGUUUCAUUUACUUUUAAAUGUGAACUUGAAUAUAUCCAAAGAAUGUUGCCCUACUGAAUAACAAAUAUGUGGCAUUACUAGUAUCUGGACAUGAAAGUCAGCUAUUGCUUCAGGCCUGAAACAAAGAUGAAAUCUGACCAUAAACAUAGUCUGAACAAAGUCUGAAAACAACUCGUAUGAAAGCUCACUUUCUUAAACUAUUUAGUACAAGGCUCUUCACAGCAGCAAGACCAGAGCUUGCUGACUGAUAAGUGGUAUCAAGAUUUAACAAAAUGAAGUGUAAAACAAAUUUAUUUAGAACUCAACUGGAAACUCAAUUUAGAACUUGGUAAAAUAUUUAGAUAAAACUUACUAAAGUGUUCAAUUUUUUGUCCUCUUUUAUGAAAGAGAACUUAAAACAUGCUGAGCUGCUGAGGACCCACAGUGCUUGCUAAUGUCACCUCUUUGACACUUGUUUUUUUCGUGGAGAUAAAUAGCAAUAAGAUGGAAGGCAUUAGAAAAUAAGGUCCAUCGUCAUUGCUCAUUAUUUGUAAUUUGUGGAGUGUGACAGUGUGUUCAGCAGAAUGAACAGCAGAAAUAGAGACAAUAUUUGCCCCUCAAGAGCUUGCAGUUUGACAUACAGAGGAUCAAAUGUAAGACAUAGAGUGACAGAUUUAGAAUAUUAUUGUUCUUUAUUUUGUUUUAUUAAUCACCUUACUGACAAAUUUUGGAAGGGUGAAAUUAUUGGAAGGAUGCAUGUAUGUUUAAAAACACCGUGUUGGAUAGUAUCUCUUUAGGAAGCAUUAUAAUGAUCAGGAGUUGCUAUCAGGAACCCUAAUACAGAAGAAAAACAUAUAUAAGUAUUCAAAGGCAAAUGUGGAGGCAGACUAGGAAACACCCCUGAAGCAUCACAUGAAAUUAGCAUUCUUGGUGGAAUGAAGUAAGCAAAAAGAUUUAGUAGAUGCAAAAUCCGUUUUGUAGACCUAUGCUGAACGAGGCAGCUUUGAAACUAAUGCAUAGUCAAAGGUUAUUAUGGAAUAAGGACUGAGGACUAAGGAAUUUUGAAUAGAAAGGGAUGUGGACUGAGUGGUUUCUACCACUUCAUAGAGCACAGGCAAGCCUCGCCAUAAUAAUAACACUUAAUAUUGUAAUGUUCUAUUCUUCUGCAGAUUAGCUAUCACUAUAACUAUUUUAAAAAACAAACAAGCAAACAAACAAAAUACCACAUGAAUUUAUAUUGUUUUUUCUCCACUCAGAUAUAUCAAUUCAUUGAAUACUGCACAUUUAUUGAAAAAAAUAAAAUCCAGCAAUACAAAGAUUGUGUCCACAGCUUUGUUGCAUCUUCUGAACAUUGGCUCUGACUGCAUCAAAGGCAAAUACAUGCAUGACAGCAGUCACAUGCCCAAACUAACACAUGCCUGUGCACAAUGAUAUGAUGUGAAAAUCAACUGGGAAUUGACAGUAUCAGCAACCUUUACUGUUUAGGAAAUUAAAAGAAACAUAAGUGUGGAGACAGUAUGUAAUAGCUCACUGCUUUGAACUAGAUCAGCUUGGGGAUAGUACUAAUUUACAUUCCUAACACUUACAUCGGGUUUUACUGUACUUCAGUGUUCAUAAAAAUGGCUAAUUAACUGAAACACCCCCAAUGUUGAUGGUAUACUGUAAAUGUCACCUCUGAAAUACAGAGCCCACUCUUGAGAUAACAUCUUCCUGAUGCCCCUGGAGCAUGGUCUUUUUGGAUGCAUUUGUUCCAGGGGAGCACACCAUUGUGGUUAACUCCAAAGAUCUGCCUCUCUUCCUCUGCUUGCCACCAUAAAAUUUCCAUGGGAAAAUUUGCAGAAGGCCCACAUAACAAUUUGUUUUACUUGCAUAGUAAUUAACAACUCAAACAGCAGCAAGGCAGCCGCCUAUUCCUCUUGGCUGAAUGUUAAGCUUGACCUCCCUUCCCCUUUCCCCUCAGUUCACAACUAUUCUCAUCUUCCAAAAUUAUGUGAGAAAUGAUUUUUCAUGCUAUUUGCAUGUUUUAGAGCAUCUAUCAUUAUCAUGUGCACUGACAGCUUUAUACUUCAGCUGUGACAGAGCUUGAAAAAUGCAAGUCCUAUCAAUCAACACAUUGUAGCUUUCCAAAAUAGGAUCUUCAGCAUCUGACAUUUUGUCUAUUUUUCUUUUCUUCUUUUCCUUUUCCUUUUUUUCUUUUUUUAUUUCCCUUUUUCUUCUUUUC